rnacentral:rRNA from 1 species
AACGAACGCUGGCGGCAUGCCUAACACAUGCAAGUCGAACGAGACCUUCGGGUCUAGUGGCGCACGGGUGCGUAACGCGUGGGAACCUGCCCUUAGGUUCGGAAUAACUCCCCGAAAGGGGUGCUAAUACCGGAUAAUGUCUUCGGACCAAAGAUUUAUCGCCUUUGGAUGGGCCCGCGUUGGAUUAGCUAGUUGGUAGGGUAAAAGCCUACCAAGGCGACGAUCCAUAGCUGGUCUGAGAGGAUGAUCAGCCACACUGGGACUGAGACACGGCCCAGACAACAUAGGGGAGGAAGGGGGGGGAAAAAUUGAAAAGGGGGAGAAAGAGGGAACAAGAAGGGCGGGGGGAGGAAGAAAGGCGGGAGGGUGAAAAAGUUUUUUUAACGGGGAGAAAAAGGAAGGAACCGGGAAAAAAAGCCCCGGAAAACCCCGUG